rnacentral:rRNA from 1 species
UACGGGGGGGGCAAGCGUUGUUCGGAAUUACUGGGCGUAAAGGGCGCGUAGGCGGCCCGCUAAGCUGAACGUGAAAUCCCCGGGCUCAACCCGGGAACUGCGUCCGAUACUGGCAGGCUUGAAUCCGGGAGAGGGAUGCGGAAUUCCCAGUGUAGAGGUGAAAUUCGUAGAUAUUGGGAAGAACACCGGUGGCGAAGGCGGUUCUCUGGGCAUUACCUGACGCUGAGGAGCGAAAGCGUGGGGAGCAAACAGG